UACAUACUCCCUCCGUCCGAAAAUACUUGUCAUCAAAAUGGAUAAAAAAGAUGUAUCUAGAACUAAAAUACGUCUAGAUACAUCCCCUUUUAUCCAUUUUGAUGACAAGUAUUUCCGGACAGAGGGAGUACUAG
rnacentral:pre_miRNA from 1 species